CGCCACCGACCACGACAAUGGGAAGGCGUUCCCGGAAAGUCCGCGGAAAGCAAGCACGCGACACGAGCUUCGAACAGACAACGCGUAAGUACUUACUUAUACGCCAUCUGCGUAUGUACGUUCCUGGGUACACGUGGUGCGUGAAUCACGGGACAUUUGUAGCCGCCAGUGUGUUACGUUUCUCCGACGAUCGCGACCACACGAAUAUCCAAGAAUGCGAGUCUCUUGACUAAUUACGCUGAUAUACUUAACGAUGUAUAAUAUUAGGUUGGCGCGUAUGAAAUACACUUUCUUUGGAAAUUAAAUUUAACGGAUCGAUAAGAAACAUUACCACGUUCGUAGGAUUGUAUUAUUUUAAAUUAAAAUGAACAGUGAAAUGUAGAAGUAACGUUGUACUACUACAAUUCUACACCAUCUGGUUUAUAUCGAGUGUUGUGUAUAUUUUACACAUUCGUUAUGUGAUCUCAUCGACGACGAAUAACAGCGUCGAAUGUAUUAAAUGUUGUCCUAUCAUCGAUUAUAAAUAUACCAUUUUUAUAUUUAUUUACUAUAAUAAGGUAGGUGCAUAAAUAUUGAAUUUUACGAAGAUCUCAGUAGACAUUAGCAAUAAUCAGAGUAUUCUUACGAUCUCUUUGAUAAUUAUCGAUUACGUUUGUCAUAUAUUCGUUAUAUUAAGAUUAUGAAUAAGCGAAAUGAUUCUGUCAUUUCUUUACAUGAUUUUAGGCUUAGAUAUGAGUUUAUAUUCCAUCUGGAUAAUAACGUAUUGCAUGAUUAUUGUACAAGAAACUGUAAAUAAGUUUAAUCGAAUAAUUUUUUAAUUCUAGAAGUGAUAAUCCGUACGACUUUGAAAUAAUGAAACAUAUAACUAUUGCGAUUAGCUGUGAAAGAAGUAGAAUAAAGUUAGUCCAUGUCAGACAGAUCGAAAAUAUUGAUUAAAUCAGUCUAGUAGAUGGUUAUAAAUCCACGAAACAAUUGAUCAUUGAUAUAUAUUUAUCUGAUAAAAUUCAUCUAAUCUAUAUACGUAUGAUAUAUGUAUAUUCAAAAGUCUUUUUACGGCAACUGUUUUUUAAAGUUUCUUUUAUCCGCCAUUAGAUGAAUUCAUGUAUUAUACUUGGGUCUGGAGUUUAAACAAUUAUCAGACGUACCACAUUUUAUGUGGGCUAUAGGUGGCGAUCGUCAAGUUCAUGUACACGUGCAUGGCUUAGAUUUACCUAUAAGAAUCAAAGAAGAAAUAUAUGAAAAUGAAAUUUUAAUCAAAUACAAUAUUUACGGCGUUGGCUUCCUUUAGAAGGAUUUAAUGGGAGAUUAUUAUCUACAGAUAGGUAUAAUUUUUCUAAUCAAGAUGGUACAGUUGACCGUAGCAGAGAUAAAGUAAGAUUGCCAUCCAUGGCUUGGCAAUGGGAAGAUGAUUGGCAAAUAGAAACUACAUCAGAUGGCCAACCGUUGGAUCAUGAUGUAAAUAUGAUAAAAUUUCUUUAAAUAAUCAUCCGAAUUAGAUUCUCAAAUUUAAAGGGAAGAACCGUACCCUAUAUAAACAAAACCACGGAUUUAUCAAAUACAAGCGUACUAAAUACAAGUGUAAUUCAUCGUUUAUAAAGUACCAGUUUAUAAGGUAUUAAAGACUCUUUAUACCAGGUAAUUGCAAAAAAGAAAAAACUCUAGAUCUCCGUGACCGACGUGCAAUUGUUCGCGUAGUGGAAUAUCACGCGGCGAAUCAUUUCUAAGAUGUUGCUGGCGAUGUCGCAAUGACGGAUUUACCUCAUCCACCAGCACGACAUUUAGAUCGAAAGUCCAUCGAAUGAUCUCGUCUCAGGAUGAUUAAUUCGACUCAUUACCAGUGAGUAAUCACUAUUAUUAUCCACGUGUUCUAUGUAGCCCGGUUUUGUUCGCCCACGAACCUAGCUGGACCAGUGCACGCAAUAGUACGGAAAAUGGUGUUUGCGAAAUCGAUCAGGAAGAACUAGCCUUUCACGGGAAUCCGUCUGAUAGACGAGACCUGAUCAAACGCACGCGUGAUUCUUAGAAGAAACAUCGUUAACUGAAAAACUAUUGGCGACGCAAACUGACGAUGUUAAGUACAAGAAAUUUCGUGUUUUGGCAAAAUUUUUACUCUUCUCAUGAAACACUCAAAGACAGAACGGAAAUGAUACAUGAAGAAGAGACGAGAAAGGAAGAUAGGCAUGAAACAACUACAUUGUCAAAUAUAAAUUCCUAGAUUUUUAGAGAUUUUUGUACGUGUUCUUCACAAAGUUUAUGGAUAAAGUAAAAAUGACGCAUAGAAUAAAACACGAAGAAGAAAAAGAUACCUUAAAAAAACAUUCGUCGAGCAACCAUCAAACAUCGAAGAGAGAAACGAUAUGAAACGAUACUGAAACGACUAUUUCUGUAAUUUUCGAUCAUAGAAUCAAAUAUACGAACAUCCCUUUGUCAAAGGAAAGAUUAAAUUUUGAUAAUUAGGAUGUAAAUAAAUCAAUAAAAAAUUAUUUUGCGCGCUUGAUUACUUAAUAGCUUAAUUAAUAUUACGACAAAAUUAUGGAGCAACAUUACCAGAUAAGCAAUAUAUGUACAUGGAAAAGGAAAAAGCACAAAAAAAUUUCAUGUAUGUCUGUGUCUAUUUGUAGCAACAUAAUAACAAGAUAUAACGUUAUAAUAAAAUAUUUACGAUGAAUAUAAACAUUUCAAUUCUUGUAAUACACCUUAAUACGUUAUAAACUCCUAAUGCCCGUCCAGUUUACUAUACACGAGCCGUGCACGAUGACGAUGGGAGGGUACACAUACGCGUUUCUGAAGGAUGAUUCUGCGUUUCGUAAUAGCCUUUCGAGACCUGUCACACUACGCCACGUGUACGGCUAAAUUUAUUUGCUU